rnacentral:rRNA from 1 species
GACGUAGGGGGCGAGCGUUGUCCGGAAUUACUGGGCGUAAAGCGCGCGCAGGCGGUUCUUCAAGUCAGAGGUGAAAGCCCAGAGCUCAACUCUGGAAUGGCCUUUGAGACUAGAGAACUAGGGUACGGGAGAGGUGAGUGGAAUUCCGAGUGUAGAGGUGAAAUUCGUAGAUAUUCGGAAGAACACCAGUGGCGAAGGCGCUCACUGGCCCGUUACCGACGCUCAGGCGCGACAGCGUGGGGAGCAA